CGACCGGGUGCGUAACACGUAUGCAACCUACCUAAUACUGGGGUAUAGCCUCUCGAAAGAGAGAUUAAUCCCCCAUAAUACUACGAAAUGGCAUCAUUUUGUAUUUAAAGCUUCGGCGGUAUUAGAUGGGCAUGCGUCCUAUUAGCUAGUUGGUGAGGUAACGGCUCACCAAGGCUACGAUAGGUAGGGGUCUGAGAGGAUGAUCCCCCACACUGGUACUGAAACACGGACCAG
rnacentral:rRNA from 1 species